UGUAAGCGUAUACCAAAGUUGUUGCAGUUAAAACGCUCGUAGUCGGAAUUUGGCAGUUCCGGAUGUGUGCACGUCGUGUGCGCACUUCGCGGGGAUUGCUUUUGUGGUCUUGCGUAGGAUGAGGCACUUUUAUUAGUGAACGUCCUCACGCAACCACUUUUUACUGUGAGAAAAUCAGAGUGCUCAAAGCAGGCAUUUGCCGUGAAUGUAUUAGCAUGGAAUAAUAGAAUAGGACUUGGUUCUAUUUUGUUGGUUUGUUGGGACUGAGUAAUGAUUAAGAGGGACAGUUGGGGGCAUUUGUAUUUCGGUGCUAGAGGUGAAAUUCUUAGAUUGCCGAAAGACAAACUGCUGCGAAAGCGUCUGCCAAGGAUGUUUUCAUUGA
rnacentral:rRNA from 1 species